rnacentral:rRNA from 1 species
UUGACCUCGGAUCAGGUAGGGAUACCCGCUGAACUUAAGCAUAUCAAUAAGCGGAGGAAAAGAAACCAACAGGGAUUGCCUCAGUAACGGCAGUGAAAGCGG